AACGAACGCUGGCGGCAGGCCUAACACAUGCAAGUCGAGCGCGCCCUUCGGGGUGAGCGGCGGACGGGUGAGUAACGCGUGGGAACGUGCCCUUUUCUACGGAAUAGCUCCGGGAAACUGAGAGUAAUACCGUAUACGCCCUUUGGGGGAAAGAUUUAUCGGAAAAGGAUCGGCCCGCGUUGGAUUAGGUAGUUGGUGGGGUAAUGGCCUACCAAGCCGACGAUCCAUAGCUGGUUUGAGAGGAUGAUCAGCCACACUGGGACUGAGACACGGCCCAGACUCCUACGGGAGGCAGCAGUGGGGAAUCUUAGACAAUGGGGGCAACCCGGAUCUAGCCAUGCCGCGUGAGUGAUGAAGGCCUUAGGGUUGUAAAGCUCUUUAAGCUGGGAAGAUAAUGACGGUACCAGCAGAAGAAGCCCCGGCAAACUCCGU
rnacentral:rRNA from 1 species